rnacentral:rRNA from 1 species
AUUGAACGCUGGCGGCAUGCCUUACACAUGCAAGUCGAACGGCAGCACGGGAGCAAUCCUGGUGGCGAGUGGCGAACGGGUGAGUAAUAUAUCGGAACGUGCCCAGUAGUGGGGGAUAACUGCUCGAAAGAGCAGCUAAUACCGCAUACGACCUGAGGGCGAAAGGGGGGGAUCGCAAGACAUCUCGCGAUUGGAGCGGCCGAUAUCAGAUUAGCUAGUUGGUGGGGUAAAGGCCUACCAAGGCAACGAUCUGUAGUUGGUCUGAGAGGACGACCAGCCACACUGGGACUGAGACACGGCCCAGACUCCUACGGGAGGCAGCAGUGGGGAAUUUUGGACAAUGGGCGCAAGCCUGAUCCAGCAAUGCCGCGUGCAGGAAGAAGGCCUUCGGGUUGUAAACUGCUUUUGUCAGGGAAGAAAUCCUCUAGGUUAAUACCCUUGGGGGGAUGACGGUACCUGAAGAAUAAGCACCGGCUAACUACGUGCCAGCCGCCGCGGUAACAC